rnacentral:snRNA from 1 species
GUGCUUGCUUUGGCAGCACAUAUACUAAAAUUGGAACGAUACAGAGAAGAUUAGCAUGGCCCCUGCACAAGGAUGACACCCAAAUUCGUGAAGCAUUCCAUAUUUUU